rnacentral:rRNA from 1 species
UACGUAGGGGGCAAGCGUUGUCCGGAAUCAUUGGGCGUAAAGCGCGCGUAGGCGGCCCUGUAAGUCCGUUGUGAAAGUCGAAGGCUCAACCUUCGAAAGCCGAUGGAUACUGCAGGGCUAGAGUCCGGAAGAGGCGAGUGGAAUUCCUGGUGUAGCGGUGGAAUGCGCAGAUAUCAGGAGGAACACCGGUGGCGAAGGCGGAUCUCUGGGCCUUGCCUGACGCUGAGGCGCGAAAGCUAGGGGAGCGAACAGG